AUUGAACGCUGGCGGCAGGCCUAACACAUGCAAGUCGAGCGGAUGAAGGGAGCUUGCUCCUGGAUUCAGCGGCGGACGGGUGAGUAAUGCCUAGGAAUCUGCCUGGUAGUGGGGGAUAACGUCCGGAAACGGGCGCUAAUACCGCAUACGUCCUGAGGGAGAAAGUGGGGGAUCUUCGGACCUCACGCUAUCAGAUGAGCCUAGGUCGGAUUAGCUAGUUGGUGGGGUAAAGGCCUACCAAGGCGACGAUCCGUAACUGGUCUGAGAGGAUGAUCAGUCACACUGGAACUGAGACACGGUCCAGACUCCUACGGGGGGCAGCAGUGGGGAAUAUUGGACAAUGGGCGAAAGCCUGAUCCAGCCAUGCCGCGUGUGUGAAGAAGGUCUUCGGAUUGUAAAGCACUUUAAGUUGGGAGGAAGGGCAGUAAGUUAAUACCUUGCUGUUUUGACGUUACCAACAGAAUAAGCACCGGCUGACUUCGUG
rnacentral:rRNA from 1 species